rnacentral:rRNA from 1 species
AUACGGAGGGUGCAAGCGUUACUCGGAAUUACUGGGCGUAAAGCGUACGUAGGCGGUUAGUUAAGUUAGAUGUGAAAGCCCCGGGCUUAACCUGGGAACUGCAUUUAAAACUGGCUAACUAGAGUUAAGUAGAGGGGAGUGGAAUUUCAGGUGUAGCGGUGAAAUGCGUAGAGAUCUGAAGGAACACCAGUGGCGAAGGCGACUCCCUGGACUUGAACUGACGCUGAGGUACGAAAGCGUGGGUAGCAAACGGGAUUAGAAACCCCAGUAGUCC